rnacentral:tRNA from 1 species
AAAAGUAAAGAAGUAAAAUUAUUACAUUUAGUUUCGACCUAAAAAUAGAGUUAUACUCCAUACUUUUA